rnacentral:rRNA from 1 species
GUGUCAGCCGCCGCGGUAAAACGUAGGAGACAAACGUUAUCCGGAGUUACUGGGCGUAAAGGGCGUGUAGGUGGUUGCGUAAGUCUGGCGUGAAAUUUUUCGGCUUAACCGGGAAAGGUCGUCGGAUACUGCGUAGCUAGAGGACGGUAGAGGCGUGUGGAAUUCCGGGUGUAGUGGUGAAAUGCGUAGAGAUCCGGAGGAACACCAGUGGCGAAGGCGACACGCUGGGCCGUACCUGACACUGAUGCGCGACGGCAUGGGGAGCAAACAGGAUUAGAAACCCUCGUAGUCC